rnacentral:rRNA from 1 species
UACGUAGGGUGCGAGCGUUAAUCGGAAUUACUGGGCGUAAAGCGUGCGCAGGCGGUUUUGUAAGCCAGAUGUGAAAGCCCCGGGCUUAACCUGGGAAUGGCAUUUGGGACUGCAAGGCUUGAGUGUGGCAGAGGAGACUGGAAUUCCUGGUGUAGCAGUGAAAUGCGUAGAUAUCAGGAGGAACACCGGUGGCGAAGGCGGCAUCCUGGACCAUUACUGACACUGAAAAGCGAAAGCCAGGGGAGCAAACGGG